rnacentral:rRNA from 1 species
UGGGGAAUCUUGCGCAAUGGGCGAAAGCCUGACGCAGCGACGCCGCGUGAGUGAUGAAGGCCUUCGGGUUGUAAAGCUCUGUGGGGAGAGAAGAAUAAAUGCAGGCGAAUACCCUGCACGAUGACGGUAUCUCCUUAGCAAGCACCGGCUAACUCUGUGCCAGCAGCCGCGGUAAGACAGAGGGUGCAAACGUUGUUCGGAAUUACUGGGCGUAAAGCGAGUGUAGGCGGUUCGAUAAGUCGGAUGUGAAAGCCCCGGGCUCAACCCGGGAAGUGCAUUCGAUACUGUCAAGCUAGAGUAUCGGAGAGGUUGGUGGAAUUCUCGGUGUAGAGGUGAAAUUCGUAGAUAUCGAGAGGAACAUCGGUGGCGAAGGCGGCCAACUGGACGAAUACUGACGCUG